rnacentral:rRNA from 1 species
GGCGAACGGGUGAGUAAUGCAUCGGAACGUGUCCUGUAGUGGGGGAUAACCCGGCGAAAGCCGCANUAAUACCGCAUACGCUCUACGGGGGAAAGGGGGGGAUCUUAGGACCUUCCGCUACAGGGGCAGCCUAUGGCNGAUUAGCUAGUUGGUGGGGUAAAGGCCUACCAAGGCGACGAUCUGUAGCUGGUCUGAGAGGACGACCAGCCACACUGGGACUGAGACACGGUCCAGACUCCUACGGGAGGCAGCAGUGGGGAAUAUUGGACAAUGGGGGCAACCCUGAUCCAGCCAUGCCGCGUGUGUGAAGAAGGCCUUCGGAUUGUAAAGCACUUUAGUUCGGAAAGAAAGCCCCGUGCCUAAUACCCGAGGCGGAUGACGGUACCGGCAGAAUAAGCACCGGCUAACUACGUGCCAGCAGCCGCGGUAAUACAUAGGGUGCAAGCGUUAAUCGGAAUUACUGGGCGUAAAGCGCGCGCAGGCGGUUCGCUAAGACAGAUGUGAAAUCCCCGGGCUCAACCUGGGAACUGCAUUCGAGACUGGCUGACUAGAGUAUGGCAGAGGGGGGUAGAAUUCCACGUGUAGCAGUGAAAUGCGUAGAGAUGUGGAGGAACACCGAUGGCGAAGGCAGACCCCUGGGCCAAUACUGACACUCAUGCACGAAAGCGUGGGGAGCAAACAGGAUUAAAUACCCUGGUAGUCCACGCCCUAAACGAUGUCAACUAGUCGUCGGGACUCCAUUGACUUGGUACGUGACUUAAGCGCGUAAAAUUAACCCCUUGGGGAGUACGGGCCCCAAGUUCAAACUCAAAGGAAUUUACGGGGACCCGCACAAGC